AUUGAACGCUGGCGGCAUGCUUUACACAUGCAAGUCGGACGGCAGCACAGAGAAGCUUGCUUCUUGGGUGGCGAGUGGCGAACGGGCGAGUAACAUAUCGGAACGUACCGAGCAGUGGGGGAUAACUAAUCGAAAGAUUAGCUAAUACCGCAUAUCUUCUGAGGAAGAAAGCAGGGGACCAUUUGGCCUUGCGCUGUUUGAGCGGCCGAUAUCUGAUUAGCUAGUUGGUGGGGUAAAGGCCUACCAAGGCGACGAUCAGUAGCGGGUCUGAGAGGAUGAUCCGCCACACUGGGACUGAGACACGGCCCAGACUCCUACGGGAGGCAGCAGUGGGGAAUUUUGGACAAUGGGCGCAAGCCUGAUCCAGCCAUGCCGCGUGUCUGAAGAAGGCCUUCGGGUUGUAAAGGACUUUUGUCAGGGAAGAAAAGGGCGGGGUUAAUACCCCUGUCUGAUGACGGUACCUGAAGAAUAAGCACCGGCUAACUACGUG
rnacentral:rRNA from 1 species